GAUGAAGAACGCAGCGAAAUGCGAUAACUAGUGUGAAUUGCAGAUUUCAGUGAAUCAUCGAGUCUUUGAACGCACAUUGCGCCCCCUGGUAUUCCGGGGGGCAUGCCUGUCCGAGCGUCAUUGCUGCCCUCAAGCACGGCUUGUGUGUUGGGCCCCGCCCCCCGGCUCCCGGGGGGCGGGCCCGAAAGGCAGCGGCGGCACCGCGUCCGGUCCUCGAGCGUAUGGGGCUUCGUCACCCGCUCCGUAGGCCCGGCCGGCGCCCGCCGGCGACCCCCCUCAAUCUUUUCAGGUUGACCUCGGAUCAGGUAGGGAUACCCGCUGAACUUAAGAAUAUCAAUAAGCGGAGGA
rnacentral:misc_RNA from 1 species